rnacentral:rRNA from 1 species
GAUCAUGGCUCAGAGUGAACGCUGGCGGCGUGCCUAAUACAUGCAAGUCGAACGGAGAUUAAGUAGCUUGCUAUUUAAUCUUAGUGGCGCACGGGUGAGUAAUAUAUAGUUAAUCUGCCCCAUAGUGGAGGACAACAGUUAGAAAUGACUGCUAAUACUCCAUACUCCUUCUUAUCAUAAGUUAAGUCGGGAAAGUUUUCGUCUAUGGGAUGAGACUAUAUCGU